GUCUAAGUCGUUUCUACAACGCGACAACACGAGCUUGCUGAAGAACGAGGUCAGCCAGUUGAUCAUCUGGAAAUGUUUAGGAAAACACACGCUCAGAGUGGUCAAUUUGUUUGUUUAUACGUUACGUUUGCUUAUACGUACCAUUCCAUUCUCAUCCCACCACCCCAGAGAGUUCUCAACCACUCUCUGGUGACAAGAUAUGCAAAACCGUUUUGGAUAGAUGAUCGGGCUACUCAAAAGAUCUUGGUUGAAGUCCCAAGACCAAGUCCCGCAAGAGCAAUGCUAGCAGUUCUUCGACCUCAUGUUCACAAUCUAGGAAGAUCGAAGAAACUAAAGUCCUAAUUGAACAAGAAUUGAACUUUAAGAAGCUAAACACAUGAUUGAAGAGUAAAGAAGGACUUCGGAGCUACAUGCACAACAAAUGGAAGAAAAUUCCCGACAAAUAGAACAAAUGAAGAAGAUGAUUGAAGAAAUGAGUCGGCCAUAGAGGAGACCUUGAGCACUUGCGGUGGGAAUAUGGCGUACACACCCAUUAGGAGAUCAAUGUACUUUUUUCUUUUAUAUGUAAUUUCUUUAGAGCAUUCAAACUAGUUAG